rnacentral:rRNA from 1 species
CGACUGGAAGCACCCGAGUAGCGUCAGGCACGAGGAAUCUGGCGUGAAUCAGCGUGGACCAUAUCACGCAAGGCUAAAUACUGCUGUUGACCGAUAGUGAAGAGUACCGUGAGGGAAAGGUGAAAAGAACCCUGAGCAAGGGAGUGAAAUAGAAUUUGAAACCGUGUGCUUACAAACGGUAGGAGCACUUUAUGUGUGACUGCGUGGAUUUUGGUUAAUCAUCCUGCGAGUUAUGGCUGGUGGCAAGGUUAAUAGAACGGAGCCGAAGGGAAACCGAGUCUUAACAGGGCGACAAGUCGCCAGCCAUAGACGCGAAACCUAGUGAUCUAGGCCUGUCCAGGCUGAAGCUGAGGUAAGACUCAGUGGAGGGCCGAACUCACCGCCGUUGAAAAGUUGGGAGAUGAGAUAGGUCUAGGGGUGAAAAGCCAAUCGAACUAGGAGAUAGCUCGUUCUCUCCGAAAUGCAUUUAGGUGCAGCCUUGGCAUGAAGAUAUGCGGGGGUAGAGCUCUGUAUGGUCUAGGGGGCGUACUGCUUACCGAAAUCAAGCAAACUGCGAAUACCGCAUAUUAAUAGCCAGGAGUGAGUCCGUGGAUGACAAGGUCCUCGGACGAGAGGGGAACAGCCCAGACCGCCAGCUAAGGUCCCUAAUUAUGUCUAAGUGGGAAAGGAGGUGGAUAUUCACAGACAACCAGGAGGUUGGCUUAGAAGCAGCCAUACCUUGAAAGAGUGCGUAACAGCUCACUGGUCGAGAGUAUCUGCGCCGAAGAUGUAACGGGGCUAAGACAUAAACCGAAGCUGCGGAGGCGUGCUUGCACGCCUGGUAGGAGAGCGUUCUGUAGGCCGUUGAAGGAAUGCCGCAAGGCCAUUCUGGAGGUAUCAGAAGUGAGAAUGCAGGAAUGAGUAGCGAGAAGGCGGGCGAGAAUCCCGCCGGCCGGAAGUCCAAGGUUUCCAGGGGAAGGUUUGUCCGCCCUGGGGGAGUCGGGACCUAAGCAUAAGCAAAAAUGUGAUGGCGAAUGGAAAACAGGUUAAUAUUCCUGUACCGCUGUUAUCGCCUGAGAGACGGAGUGACGCAGGAAGGUAUGCGGGAAGGCUGACGGAAUAGCCUUUCUAAGGGCGUAGCAUGGGCAUGCAGGAAAAUCCGCAUGCCUAAAUGUGAGACCUGACGGGUAAGUGCAUCUUGCAUAAGCCGCAGAUCCUACACUGCCGAGAAAAACUUCUAUCGAUGAGAACCAGCGCCCGUACUGUAAACCGACACAGGUGGACAGAGUGAGAAACUUAAGGCCGACAGGAUAACUCUAGCUAAGGAACUCUGCAAAAUAGCCCCGUAACUUCGGGAGAAGGGGUGCCUGAUAUACCUGAAAGGAGAAACACCUCAAGGGGAAACAGGCCGCAGUGAAGAGUCCCAAGCAACUGUUUACCAAAAACACAGGUCUAUGCUAAGCUGAAAGGCGACGUAUAUGGGCUGACACCUGCCCAGUGCCGGAAGGUUAAGAGGAGGGUUGAGAGACUCGAAUUGAAGCCCCGGUGAACGGCGGCCGUAACUAUAACGGUCCUAAGGUAGCGAAAUUCCUUGUCGGGUAAGUUCCGACCUGCACGAAUGGUG